rnacentral:rRNA from 1 species
UACAGAGGUCCCAAGCGUUGUUCGGAUUCACUGGGCGUAAAGGGUGCGUAGGUGGUUGGGUAAGUCUGAUGUGAAAUCUCCGGGCUCAACCCGGAAAUGGCAUUGGAUACUAUCCAGCUGGAGGGUCGGAGGGGGGACUGGAAUUCUUGGUGUAGCAGUGAAAUGCGUAGAUAUCAAGAGGAACACCAGUGGCGAAGGCGAGUCCCUGGACGACUCCUGACACUGAGGCACGAAAGCUAGGGGAGCAAACAGG